GCCCAGCCACUCACGGACAUCGGACAUCGCAGAAGUUUGGUGGCUGCUGGCUGGGUGGCGUCGAUGACCUGGAGCCCCACCGCUCGCGGGGGCUGAGCAGCCGCCACUUCCCCUCUGGUCCGGCUUUUGUGUCUCGCGUCUUCUGCUCAUGCUGUGUUCGGCUACUUCUCGCGGUGGCCGCUGCUGAGCUGUCCGACACAGCCGAGGACCGAGGACACGACGGCUCCCGCAGCCGCAGCGCGGGGCGCAGGAGGGACUAUGGGAAACGGGAUGUGCUCCCGAAAGCAGAAGCGGAUCUUCCAGACGCUGCUGCUACUCACGGUGGUCUUCGGCUUCCUCUAUGGCGCGAUGCUCUACUUGGAACUGCAGACGCAGCUGCGCAAAGCCGAGGCAGUGGCGCUCAAGUACCAGCAGCACCAGGACUCACUCUCUGCUCAAUUGCAAGUUGUGUAUGAACACAGAUCAAGAUUAGAGAAAUCUUUGCAAAAAGAAAGGCUUGAACACAAGAAAGCAAAGGAAGAUUUCCUUGUUUAUGAUUCACAAUUAUGGAUAGGAAAGCAUGCAAAGCUACAGUUUAAUAUGAUUAUUUUUAAGAGUAUAUGGUAAAAUAUCUAUAGCACUAUGAUAGGCACCCCACCCUUAGUGGCUUUACUAUUUACCCAGAAUUGACCUGCCUUGGCCUAUGAACAAGGCAUUCUAAUGGCUAUAAAUAAUAAUAAUAUCCAUCCUUUACAAGAAAACGCAAACUGGAAACUUUUCCCCGAAAUGAGCACAUAUUUUAGUUUAGAUCGUCGAUAUUGUUAAACACAUCGAAAUGGGCCACAGUUAAUCUGUGUGUGGUACUUUCAAAAUAAUAAAAGCAAUUUCAUUUUCUGUUAUUAUCAGGUGAAUGUAGUUUUAGUUUUUAAUAACCACACUUAUGUAUGGUUUUGAUUUUCACAGCUGAGCAAUUGUGUUUGUAUGCAUAGAAAUGUUCUGUUCAAAUUUUGUUUGGAUUUCCAGUAACCAUAAAUCAUAUCUCAUCUUUAUGUAUAAAAGCCCCAUAUGUAAUGUAAAAUGUAUUAUAUUGUACAUAAUACUCAGAAUACAAUUAUUUUGGUAAAUUAGUUUGUAUUUUUAAUGUCCCUUCGCAGUAUUUAAUUAUUUGAAAUAUAUUGAAAUUUGGGUAAUAAUCAAUAAAGCUAUAAAAAGUU
rnacentral:lncRNA from 1 species